rnacentral:lncRNA from 1 species
GGGCUUAGUUUUUUUAUGGUGGGUGCUUUGCCUGGUAAAGAACGGUGCAUAUUCGGAUAGACGACAUACUAUCUAUCACGAAAAUGGACAGUUAUCCCUAAUAUACUAGGAUGGCAUGCCAAACGAAGAGGCUUGAUGGGCGGCAUAUCGCCCAUAUAAGCAUGCAUGAUCUUUUUUUAGUGCAAAACAUGUUAACAAUGUAUCAUCUAAAUAAA